UGUUAAUUAUGUUUGUAAUCUACAAGCUUAAAGAAUGAGUUUCUUGAGUAGGUAAUCCUUUGGGCAUAAAGAUUCUGACAUUCGAGCGAGUUUCUUGAGUAGGUAAUCCUUUGAGUAUAAAGAUUCUGAGAUUCGAGCACCUUCUCCCUUCAUUGGAUAUCAUUCUUCAGAUCUAUAUACAGGAACCUGCGCGCCUUGCAUAAUGGCGGAGUUGGGUAUCAGGGAUUUGCAGAAAGAAAAUGCACAGCUGGAAGCAUGUGUGGAACGAAUAAGAAAGGAAAUAUCAGACUAUGAGAGCCUGAAAGCCAUGAGAUUAGAAAACGAAGAUUUGAGACGGACUCUGGAGGCUUUAAACCAGCACUUGUCUGUAUUUGACACCAUAAAUUUAUAUCCGGAAAAUCACAAAGCCCUAGUGGACUUAGCUGUGAAGGCUUACUUGGCAAGGACUGUGGGAAAAAUACAAACCAAGAGUGAUCUUCUGCAGGAGAAAGAUAAGCACCCAUGAAGGAGGGGAUGGCUCUUUCCGAAUAGCCCUUUCUUCUGCUGGCUGUGGAUUAAAAUGCAGAAUGCUGGAGGUAUUACUUUUCAAAUAGAAUUCUACUUGGAAUCCUGUCAUAUAAUGCUAAACUGUAUUGAGCAUGGGAUUGAUGUAAAUCUUCUUGUCAAGCCCAUUUAUUGAAACCUUUGAUUUCAGAAUAUUUAUACAGUUGACCUCGAUUUUGAGAUUCCAUCCUCCAAAAGCCUUGAUCAUGAUCUUGUGAAGCGUUGAUGUAAAUUAUAACCAUGUUGAUGCUUUUGAGUUUGUGAUUGUGGUCUUGUCUCUGUGUCUAUGUAAAUUCUAAGCUUCUUAAUAAUAUUGACUUUGUUUC